GUGAGUCGUGUGAUGGGAAACCUUCCCGCACGGUUCAGAGAGCACUGAAUUAGAAUGAGAGGUUCACCACUACAUCAUUGCAUGCAAGGGGAGCUCACUCGAU
rnacentral:ncRNA from 1 species